rnacentral:rRNA from 1 species
GAUGAACGCUAGCUACAGGCUUAACACAUGCAAGUCGAGGGACCGGCGCACGGGUGAGUAACACGUAUCCAACCUGCCCUUUACUCGGGGAUAGCCAUUCGAAAGAAAGAUUAAUAACCGAUGUAAAGGACGGGGAUGCGUUCCAUUAGGUUGUUGGUGAGGUAACGGCUCACCAAGCCUUCGAUGGAUAGGGGUUCUGAGAGGAAGUGACCCCACAUUGGAACUGAGACCCGGUCCACACUCCGACGCGAGGCAGCAGUGAGGAGUAUUGGUCAAUGGGCGUUAGCCUGGACCAGCCAAGUAGCGUGAAGGAUGAAGGCGUAGGGGUCGUAAUCUUCUUUUAUAGAAGAAUAUUUAUUCUAUGAAUAAGGAUCGGCUAACUCCGUGCCAGCAGCCGCGGUAAUUC